rnacentral:rRNA from 1 species
AUUGAACGCUGGCGGCAGGCCUAACACAUGCAAGUCGAGCGAGCGGCGCACGGGUGAGUAAUGUAUGGGGACUCCCCGCUAUAGGGGGAUAACUCCUGGAGACAGUAGCUAAAACCCCACACUAUCGGAUCAACCCUAUGGGAUUAGCUAGUAGGUGAGGUAAUGGCUCACCUAGGCGACGAUCCCUAGCUGGUCUGAGAGGAUGAUCGGCCACACGGGGACUGAGACACGGCCCAGACUCCUACGGAGGCAGCAGUGGGGAAUAUUGCACAAUGGGCGCAAGCCUGAUGCAGCCAUGCCGCGUGUAUGAAGAAGGCCCUAGGGUUGUAAAGUACUUUCAGUCGGGAGGCGUUACCGACAGAAGAAGCACCGGCUAACUCCGUGCCAGCAGCCGCGGUAAUAC